rnacentral:siRNA from 1 species
GAGACGAGGAUCCUGAGGACGAGG